CCCUCCUGAGCUUUAUCCAGGUGAAGGUUAAUAGUUCAGAGCUUAAUCGGGUGCUUUCUUUCGGUGCUCUUGGAAAAGCUGUCUUUGAACAGGAGCGGAAGCUUGCCGUCUUCGUGUGGAACAGGCGGAAGCUUUGCACUACAGGUGGAUUUCAUGAUGUAGCCCAGGCUGGCCUAGAACCUCCAGUCCUCCUAUCAGAACCACAGGAGUGCUGGGAUGACAGCCUAGAACGUUUUCCAGCUGAUAAGCAUGCAUUCAGUAAGAGAUGAAGAAUAGAGCACCAGGCCUGGAGCCUCAGACCUAGGGUACAGCAUUCCGGAAGUGAAGACAGAGAAAACUAGAGACCAAAGCCAACCUCAGCUACAUGAUAUUUAUUGAUAACCUGUUUUGAGUGUAUAUUUGAUCCAGCAUCCAUGACAACAUCAGGAAACAAAAAGAUGACAUGGAACAGAAGAGUUACCCAGAGUCAUGGCCCUAGCCUC